ensembl:lncRNA
AAAGUAGGUUUUAACCUAUAUCAGCACUAAAAAAUUCAGGUGAAGUCACCUGAAUUCUUCUGUACUGAAAAAUAAAGUGAAAAAAUCCGAAUUUCACUUUGGAAUUAAACAUUUGGAGCAACAGAGAAAUCCUGCAGAAGAGAUGCAGUCAUCAGAGUUGUGGUGCUUCAACUUCUGGUGGUUGUGCAUGGAGCGGGUAGAUUCAGUAAAGAUUUAGAUCCAUUAAUAUACCCUGAGGUGUUGUACAUCAGACAGAACCCCAGCACAGGAGCCACAGAGUCAUUUUAGCUUCAGCACUGUGACCCUGCAUCCCUUCAUGGGAGGCUGGGGGUGUGAGAUGCAGGCUGGGCAUCACUCACCUGCUGGAGUGAGGCAGAAUAAACAGGUAUAUUGUGAGGCAGCAGAAUGAGAGAUAGACGUUACACAGCUUUGAAACUGCACACUAAAAACACUUUUUGUUCUGCUGGAAAGGCACAGCAGUGCCAGUAGGACAGCCUGGGACUUGAAAUCCUAGCUGGUUUAAAUAUAUCAAGAAUAUCCCAAAAGAAGAUGCUUUGUCAUGAAGGGCAAGCAAGCCUCAAAGGCAGCCUGGGCCUGAGCAGGAGCACGCUGAAUGGCUGGGCACUGCCUUGCAUCUGCUUUCAAAACACCUCUGUACCUAUUCAUUGUGUUCUGUUCUCUCACUGAGCAGCAGCUGUAGAGCACAGACACAUCCAGGCAGCUGUGAGAGGAAAAAGGCUUGAGAAUAAUGAACUCUGGGACCAGCUUUUUCCUUCACCCUUUUCCACAUGAAUGCGAUGAUCAGAACAUAUACUUGCUCAGGACACAAAUACCAUCAAAUUUUUUCGUUACACAUGGGCAGUGAGGCAGUUUUCCUGCAUGAAAAGCCAUCAUUCAUGGAGAGCUGGAGCCCAAAGCCAGACAGAAGUUUCCUGACUCUCCCCUGGGCACAGCCAGCUCCAUGCGCUUGGGAAGGUUCAGCACCACACGUGGCCACCAGAUUUUUGGUAGUGACAUCCCAUUUGCAGUUUGCCAAAGGCAUGGUGACCUGUGAGGUUUUAGGGGGUGAAGAACCUCUCCCUCAGGGGGGUACACACACCCCCUGGCCCCUCCAGCGAGUAGGAUCACAAGCAGCAGCCAUCACCAGAGUAACACCAGCCCUGCAUGUGCUCCCUGCCUACAUGACAGUGACUCCUUCACCCCCCUGCAUUUUAACUGCUUUAGCUUAGUUUGAGACAACAUCAACAGUGCUGUUAUCAGUUCAGGACUUACUGUAGGCUUUUGAGAAAAAAAAUAGCAUUACUUACACCACAUUUUUGUUUUGUCACUUAGAUAGGACUCCAAAGACUUCUGUACUCCUGGAUUUCAUGCAUGGCCUUGCUACCACCAUGCACACAUCACCUCUGUGCUGCAUCACUGCCCAGAGGCUGGGCUGCACAGUGAAGGAAGAGGAUGAAGCUUUGCAGCAUUUAAUAUCCACCACACUGCCUGCAUCAGACAUCCUGUAAAUUGUUCCAUUGAUCUCUCUUCUUUUGAAGAUUUUACCAACUCUGACCUCAAAUUUCAUUUCCUCUUUCUGACAGGGAUGAUAGAGGAAAAUAAAAAGUAAAAAUUUCAAUAUCGUCCUUUGUUCAGUUUCUCCAUCCUGUUUAAUGGAUAUUCCCACAGCAGGAGCUGGUGGAACCAGUGAGCUCUUUCAAGAACUGUAAUUUCUAAACUGGUGAGCACAAUACAUCUCAGACAG